UUAACAUGCGAAUUGGUUUUUAUUUUAUAAUAUCUCCCCAGAUCACUUUAAAGCUAUUAUUGAGUGAUGGCUUUGUGGAGGUCGAAGAGGGCUAUCGGCCAGUAUUUUUUUCAAAUCGUUUCAUCGCGCUCAUUCACUGUAAAAAGGUUUUAAAAAUCGUAUUUUGAAAUUCGCGCCCGAUCCGAAUUGUCGCGAAGUGUUCCGUCGUACUGUCGAAGUUCGGCGAUCGCGUAUUUUCAUUAUCCAUGCAAAAUUCAAAUGUCAAAGUGAAAUUAGAAAUUAUUCUCAUCAGAAAUAAACGAACAAGUCAAACUGAAUUGUUUUAUCCAGUGUGAUGAUUAUUGUAGGACAAAUUAAACGGAAUAAAUGCACAAAUUGAUCCAUUCAUUCGUCAUAGUGCGCGACCCCGUCAAACGAGCCAUCUCGAACUACAAUCAGACCGUAUCCAAAAAGCCCAAGAUGAAGACUUCAAGACUUCGAGCAGCUGGUCUUCCUCAAAACCCCAUCAAAGCCCAUCGGCAGCAUUGCGACAUUUUCUGGGAGCCCUCAAGCUAGGAAUGUACUCGGGCUGCCUCACUCAGUAAUCACUGAACGACUCAAAUUGAAUUAUUUUAUCCAAUAUGACGAUUAUUGUUAUGUUGCUGGUGCUGAUCGAGUCUUUAUUACUAAAAUCUCAUUAAAAUGCCAUGUUCUACUGCGAUUAGAUGAAAAAGCGAGGGCCCGCAUUUCUUAUUGUGUGAUGAUAAGAUUUACCAUCAAAAUAGCUGGCGCUUUUGAAGAGGACCUUUUAAUGAACCAUUUAGAUAACUACAAAUAACAAAACUUAACAAUUGUUGAUGAAUGAAGUAACGAAAUAUUGUACGAAUCUGGAGAAGUAUUGCACUAUUUUCAAGAAUUGCUCAAAAAGACUGCUCUCAGCAGCUGUACAGUAAGUAAGCCAAUCUUCAAAACUCCUACGCGUGUUGAUCAGCAUUUUAGUUGAAAUCUGAAGACAAUAUUGCUGGAUUGCUUGUUUCAGCGCUUCUCUGUUUGUAUAGCUUGUCUGAAUGCAGAUGGUCGUGAAGAAAUCUCCAAAGAAAAAAUUCUCAGGGGUUUAUAUCCGGCGAUUGCACAGGCCAAUGGGGCGGUGCAAACUUUCCAUUCCAACAUUGCGGAAAAAUACUGGUUCAAAUAAACAACAUUUAUGCGAACUGUAUGGCUGGAGAUUUGGUCCUGGAUGUAAAAGACCUGCUGCAGAUGCCGCACCCUUCGAGUCCCAGGAAGUAUUUGCUGAGCUAGCAUAUUAUCCUACUUCUGAGCAUUCAAUCCGGAUUCGAUGAAAAAAGGUGCAAUGACAUGAUGUCCUAGAAGCCCCAGUCAUACACUGACAAUUGCACGCCAUUGAUAACGAAGGUCAUGGACCACGUGAGGGUUGUGUAAUGCUCAAAUUUGAUCGUUCUGACGAUUAUAACUUCCCUUAAGACCAAAUGAACGUCAGUAAAACAAAUUUUCCUCAAAAACUCUCCAUCAGCCUAGAUUCUCUCAAGCGUUCCUUCGUAAAACUCUAUAUGUGAGAAGUAGUCCCCAGGCUUCAAUUUUUUGUCAUGAUGCUUUUUGAAGUUCUUCUAUCUCAUCUGUUUAAGACCCCUAGAAAACGUCGUGCCCACCUGAUUUUAUGUAAUUUUUAUCACCUUUGAAAAUAAAUGUAACUUUAUUUUGCGAAA